rnacentral:rRNA from 1 species
UACGGGGGGGGCAAGCGUUGUUCGGAAUUACUGGGCGUAAAGGGCUCGUAGGCGGCCAACUAAGUCAGACGUGAAAUCCUGGAGCUCAACUCCAGAACUGCCUUUGAUACUGGCGAUCUCGAGUCCGGGAGAGGUGAGUGGAACUGCGAGUGUAGAGGUGAAAUUCGUAGAUAUUCGCAAGAACACCAGUGGCGAAGGCGGCUCACUGGCCCGGUACUGACGCUGAGGUGCGAAAGCGUGGGGAGCAAACAGG